rnacentral:lncRNA from 1 species
GCCAGGAACCACAGUUUCCAUUUUGUUUUUGAACUCGGUGGAUCUCUUAUUGUAUUUUCUUUUCUAGGACUAUCCCAAUAUGACAAAUCAUGAAUUCUCAUUUGAGGUUUUCACCAAAAAGAGUGUUUGAACAUUUCAGUUCAUCUGUCUACAAAGUUAUGAUCAAUCAAUUUUCAAACUUGCCAGCAAUUUAUAUGCUUUUUGAAAUCAUAUGUAGCCUAGUACCAUAUGGAAAGAACCAUGUCUGUCUGUAUAUGAGAAUAUUUUAUCCUUUGCCUUUAUUUGAGGUAAUUUAAAUGCUCUGUGUAAACCCAUAUUUGGGAAAAUAAACAGCACAGAUGCUGCCCUUUAACAGAGCACUUACUCCCACAUUCGAAAUAUCUUUUAGAGGACACUCUAUUAAAUGAAACAAGGCUUACACUCAUUUGACAUUUGCAGAAAGGCUAUCACAGCAAGUGAAGUUCCCUUGGUAUUCCUAGAAAAUUAAUCUUAAUUACCUUUACCAGUUAAGAAUAUCAUCUGUAAGGACAUUUUAUUUAAAUGAGUCACAGCUCCUCUGGUGUUCAUUGUUAUUGGGUAAAAGAUGUAGAUAUUGCUUCUUGGUCAAAUAUGGUGUCCUUAUGACUUACAAUUAAACUGAUGAUUUCUCUUUGUCUUCCUUUGCUUUAUAGGAGCCAAAAUAAUGCAGCUUCACAUCUCCUUAAUGGACAGAAGACUACACUGUUUUUGCUGCACCCAGAGAUAAAAUUAUUGGUUUUGGAGUACCUUCACUGAUGCCAGGUCUCAUAACUUUUAAAAAAUAUUACUAAGUUAAGGGGAAUUGAAGCAAUGAAAGUCAGAGUAAGGGCGGGGGGUUCAAAGUUGCAAGCAAUUUACUUCCUCUAAACAUGACUGCUCAUUUGUUUUUGAACAAGCUACCCUAACCAGCACUUUAAAUAUUCAAACACAGACUUCAAACAUGCACCUUUUUAUGGGAAGGUGGAGAGAUCCUUAUUAACCUGAAUGCAGAUAUUUUAGAAUGAGACGUUUGGUGCUCUCUUUAGUAAUAAAAGUUUUUGUAGGUAAGCUUGGGAAACACAGUGAGACCUGGUAUCUACAAAAAAAAAAAAAAAAAGAAGAAGAAGAAAAGGAAAGAAAAAAGAAAAGAAAAAAUAAACUGGGCAUGGUGGCAUGCACCCACAGUCCCAGCUACUCAGGAGACUGAGGGAGAAGGAUCCCUUGAGCCCAGGAGUUCAAAGCUGUAGUGAACUACAAUUGCACCACUGCAUUCCAGCCUGGGAGACAGAGCAAGACCCUGUCUCAGAAAAAAAAAAAAUGUAUAUAUAUAUAUAUAGUAGGCGGUUUAGAGACCACCAUAUCAUAGAUCAUAGAAGUGAUUUUGCUUUUUGAAGUACAAGGGUGGAGGGUAAAGUUUGGGGAUAAAAAAUGUUUCCUGAAUUGGGUUUAAACCCAUAGAUCUCAGGUAUGACUGCAGACUGUGUUACCAAAGUGAACUGGGGUCAGCCUGCCUGGCAUAGCAAAGCUAAACCCUGACAUCAGGACUGCCAUGAGAGAAGGCAAGGCAUUUAUUGCAGGGCACCAAGCAAGGAGAAUUAGGCAGUUCAUUCUUAAGACCUGAUCUCCUCAAUGGCUUACAGGUAAGGGUUUUUAAAGGGAGUGGAGGUAGAGGUUACAGGCAAAGUCAUACAUCAACACAUGGAGGCUGUACGUUGAUUUGACCUCUCGAAGCAGGGGCCCACAGGCCAGAAGUAGAUUCAAGAUUUUCUGAUUUGCAAUUGGAUAAGGAAGUGAAGUGUUGUCUAAAAAUUGGGGGUCAACAGAAAAGAAUGUUAGCUCUGGCUGGUGAGCAUGACCUCCUCCAGGCCCCUUAGAAAGAAAUUUAGAACCAAGAACGGCGGUCAGAGUUCAGUCCUCAGUUUCCCCCGCAUCUGAGGUCUAUGUGCCAGUGGGUCUCUUCAGUGGGGAAUCCAGGUUUUCAAAGACAAUUCAGGG